CUGGAAACAUGAAAUAAAAUAUGUGUAAAAACUAACACUUCCUUUUUCCAAGCUGAGAUUCGAAACUGAAUCUAAGGAUUCUUGCUCGUCUGAUCCACCACUGGCCAAACAGGUGCGAGAGAAAUUUCUUUGUUCUGUCACAAAAUGAUGGAUGGAUUUCUCUUCAACAUCUGACCUGAGCUGUGUCAUUUAAGGUUCAAGUGGACAGGAGGCCAAAUUACUCCUGUGG